GACGAACGCUGGCGGCGUGCUUAACACAUGCAAGUCGAACGGAAAGGCCUCUUUCGGGGGGUACUCGAGUGGCGAACGGGUGAGUAACACGUGAGUAACCUGCCCUUGACUUUGGGAUAACUUCAGGAAACUGUGGCUAAUACCGGAUAGGAGCUCCUGCUGCAUGGUGGGGGUUGGAAAGUUUCGGCGGUUGGGGAUGGACUCGCGGCUUAUCAGCUUGUUGGUGGGGUAGUGGCUUACCAAGGCUUUGUCGGGUAGCCGGCCUGAGAGGGUGACCGGCCACAUUGGGACUGAGAUACGGCCCAGACUCCUACGGGAGGCAGCAGUGGGGAAUAUUGCACAAUGGGUGGAAGCCUGAUGCAGCAACGCCGUGUGCGGGAUGACGGCCUUCGGGUUGUAAACCGCUUUCGCUCAUGACGAAGCUUUGUGUGACGGUAGUGGGUAAAGAAGCACCGGCUAACUACGUG
rnacentral:rRNA from 1 species